AUUGAACGCUGGCGGCAUGCCUUACACAUGCAAGUCGAACGGUAACAGGUCUUCGGAUGCUGACGAGUGGCGAACGGGUGAGUAAUACAUCGGAACGUGCCCGAGAGUGGGGGAUAACGAAGCGAAAGCUUUGUUAAUACCGCAUACGAUCUCAGGAUGAAAGCAGGGGACCGCAAGGCCUUGCGCUCACGGAGCGGCCGAUGGCAGGUUAGGUAGGUGGUGGGAUAAAAGCUUACCAAGCCGACGAUCUGUAGCUGGGCUGAGAGGACGACCAGCCACACUGGGACUGAGACACGGCCCAGACUCCUACGGGAGGCAGCAGUGGGGAAUUUUGGACAAUGGGCGCGAGCCUGAUCCAGCCAUGCCGCGUGCAGGAUGAAGGCCUUCGGGUUGUAAACUGCUUUUGUACGGAACGAAAAGACUCCUUCUAAUAAAGGGGGUCCAUGACGGUACCGUAAGAAUAAGCACCGGCUAACUACGUGCCAGCAGCCGCCGUAACAC
rnacentral:rRNA from 1 species